rfam:Triticum aestivum genome assembly, contig: Triticum_aestivum_CS42_TGACv1_scaffold_557615_7AL
CUUGUACUCCCUCCGUCCGAAAAUACUUGUCAUUGAAAUGGAUGUAUCUAGAUGUAUUUUAGUUCUAGACACAUCCAUUUUGNUUGUCAUUGAAAUGGAUGUAUCUAGAUGUAUUUUAGUUCUAGACACAUCCAUUUUGAUGACAAGUAAUUCCGGACGGAGGGAGUACUUG